rnacentral:lncRNA from 1 species
CUCCCUCUGUCUCUCUGUAUCCGUGUCUAACAGAAACGUUUUAUGGCUGGGGUGUGUGUGUGUGUGUGUGUGUGUGUGUGUGUGUGUGUGUGUGUGUGUGUGUGCGCGUGUUGUAGAGGCCCAACUAACCAAUUCCUUUCGGUUUGAUCCUGUCUAGUUUUCCUUCUCGAAUCUCCCGGGAAGUUCAGCCCCUUACUGCGCCAGGCCCCAGAAGCGUCAGGUGCGUUCAAGGCGGGCGGGCCUGGAUGAGUCCGAGUCAGACGAAUUCGACUGAGAAUUUGGUCUUUCGGCAGGGGGCCGGCGGUAGGCAGGUCAAUGAUUGAGAAAGGAGUUGAGUCAGAUCAGCGCGGUCCCCAGCUUUGCUCUCUCUCCGCCAUCCUCCCAGCAUUUGCAGGCGGCUGCGCAGGAGAUAGAUGGUGGCUGCAGGCCAAAGAGGAGACACACACGGAAUCAUCCUGUCAGAACCGUCUGCCUGACAGAAGGGGCCACUCCAGAGGGUGAAGCUGAAGGACUGAUAUCUGAUGGCCAAUGGGCCUGCUGUGCCAUCUUUCUGAAUGAAGGAUUUAAGAACAUAGAUGGGUAUGUAGAACACACUGCUCAAUGCACUCAAUAAUGAUAUAAAUGGAUGAUAUUU